UGGGGAAUAUUGCGCAAUGGGCGAAAGCCUGACGCAGCGACGCCGCGUGAGGGAUGAAGGUUUUCGGAUCGUAAACCUCUGUCAGAAGGGAAGAAACCGCACUGUGCUAAUCAGCAGUGCAUUGACGGUACCUUCAAAGGAAGCACCGGCUAACUCCGUGCCAGCAGCCGCGGUAAUACGGAGGGUGCAAGCGUUAAUCGGAAUUACUGGGCGUAAAGCGCACGUAGGCUGCUUUGUAAGUCAGGGGUGAAAUCCCACGGCUCAACCGUGGAACUGCCUUUGAUACUGCUUAGCUUGAAUCCGGGAGAGGGUGGCGGAAUUCCAGGUGUAGGAGUGAAAUCCGUAGAUAUCUGGAGGAACAUCAGUGGCGAAGGCGGCCACCUGGACCGGUAUUGACGCUGAGGUGCGAAAGCGUGGGGAGCAAACAGG
rnacentral:rRNA from 1 species